CUUGUAAAGUUUUGGGUUUUUGGGUGCAUCUAAACAAGACAGCUGAUGUGGCAAAGUUAAAUUUCAGUGUGGCAGGAUGUGGGUUCCUGAUUUGAAAUUUCAACUUCGUGUGGGUGCACCGCGCUGUAACGGUUUGCAUUACCCUCAAUUCGCAGAUAUCCACGUUCUAGAACUAGUAUCAGUACUUUCCUGGUUCCUUAGGUUGGAAGACGCUGAUGGAGUCUACACGCCCUGAUCUAACUAGAGCUUUGGUGUCGGUAUCCCAGGAUUUCCAUGUCCUAGAGGGUACCCAUACAUUCGGCGGACAGAGUAAUCGUAAUCAAAGUCUGGGCGUCCAACCGCUGGCAGGCGUUGUUCAAGAGGUGCUGAAUCACGGUGGACAGUUGGGUUGCUUGAAGAGGAAGAGGGGUAAGUAUGGCCCAGAAUCAAGGCUAUCACCAAUGGGGGAAAGUGCCAUUUCGAAGUCUAUGCGUACCGCAAUUGAUCAUCGGGGUGAGCCUGUCUUCAAGCCCGCAACAGGCAUGGAGUUCGAUUCUGAAAAGAGGCAAAAGACUUCUACAACCUUUACUCUUGGGAAAUUGGGUUUCGGAUUAGAAAAGGACGAGGCAGAGUAAAUGAUAAUGGAUACACUACGAGGCAGGAUUUUGUAUGCUCAUGCGAGGUGAUGUGCAAUAACUUAGAACUUAGUUAUAUACUCGUAUUUCUUCUUAGAUGUUAGUAGUAGAUUCUGAUUUUUUGUUUUUUUCGCCAAAGGGUCUGUGUCUGAAUAGUAUGGCUGCGACAUGCAGGACAGAUUGCAAGGCUAUGAUUAGGUUGCAUCGCACUAGUGAUCAUGGGUGGGUAAUUUCAAGUUUCGUGGCGGAGCACAACCAUCCAUGUUCUGGCACGUAUGGUCAGAAUAAACAGUGGCUUUCACAUAGUGACAUUGAUCCUAUGACCAAGGAUUUUGUCCGUAAGCUCCGUGAUAAUAAUAUCCCUAUAGGUAGGGUAUGCAGUAUACUUGGUGUGCAUGGUUCAGAGUCAGCAAUCCCUAUUCGUAAAGAGGCUGUAAGGUCGCUAUGUGCUCGAAUUGCUCAGGACAACAUUAAGGACGAUAUAGGGAAGACUAUGAGUCUGCUUGAUAAUAUGAAAACCAAUGAUGUGGGAAUGGAAAUUCGUUUUAAACUUGACGACGAUGAGAAAAUCAAGUCCAUGCUGUGGUGUACUGGCAAAAACAGAGCUGACUAUGCUAAGUUUGGUGAUGUGGUCACUUUUGACACUACAUAUCGAACGAAUCUAUAUAAUCUACCUUUUGGCCUUUUUGUUGGCGUUAACAACCACUUUCAGACUUUGAGUGGGCUUUCACCAAGUUCACAGAAAUAAUGGUUGGCAAGGUUCCUUUGACUAUACUCACAGAUCAGUGCCAAGCAAUGGCUGCAGCUAUUAAAUCUGUGUUCCCUACAUCGAACCAUAGGUGGUGCAUGUUCUGAGGAAGAUCAAGCAGAAAGUUGGGCCUGCAUACAGCAAGAAAAGUAAUUUUAAGAAAGAAUUCAACAAACUCGUCACCGAAGAAACUGUGGUCAAUCAUUUUGAAAGGAGGUGGAGACAGUUAAUCCGAAAAUACAAUCUUACUGAUCAGGAUAUUCAAGCACCGUGCCAAGUGGGCAAAGCCAUACUUUAUGGGUAUUUUCUGCGCUGGGAUGACUAGUACCCAAAGGAGUGAAAGUGCAAAUCACAUGUUGAAGCAGUUCAUUCAGAGGUUGGCGCCUAUGCAUAUGUUUGUUCGUAAAUUCAAUGAGUUCCAGAUGGACCGUUGCGACCAUGAAGAUAAGGAGGCUCAUGUCACUAAACAGUUUUAUCGGAAGCACCGUGUUGAUGUGCUUAGGCCAGUCUCAAUGUAAGUUUCAUGACACAGUUACCAAGACUGGAAACUAGGUAACCGAGCCACAUGAGUUUCAUGGGGAUUAAACUCCUCUCUCA